rnacentral:snRNA from 1 species
CUCCUCCAAAAAUAGGUG